CCUACGGUAGGCUGCAGUCGAGAAUCAUUCACAAUGGGGGAAACCCUGAUGGUGCGACGCCGCGUGGGGGAAUGAAGGUCUUCGGAUUGUAAACCCCUGUCAUGUGGGAGCAAAUUAAAAAGAUAGUACCACAAGAGGAAGAGACGGCUAACUGUGUGCCAGCAGCCGCGGUAAUACAGAGGUCUCAAGCGUUGUUCGGAAUCACUGGGCGUAAAGCGUGCGUAGGCUGUUUCGUAAGUCGUGUGUGAAAGGCGCGGGCUCAACCCGCGGACGGCACAUGAUACUGCGAGACUAGAGUAAUGGAGGGGGAACCGGAAUUCGCGGUGUAGCAGUGAAAUGCGUAGAUAUCGAGAGGAACACUCGGGGUGAAGGCGGGUUCCUGGACAUUAACUGACGCUGAGGCACGAAGGCCAGGGGAGCGAAAGGGAUUAGAUACCCGAGUAGUC
rnacentral:rRNA from 1 species